ACUGUUAAAGAAAAGGUAUAUAAAUAUAUUUUGAUAUUCAAAAUAAAUACAUAUCACUUGUAACUGUAAGCUCCGAGAAUUUACUACAAUUGCAAAAAUGAAGUAUUUCGCAACAGCUUUCAUCGUGGUGUUUGCUACUUUUAUGUUAUUCGUUGAAUGCAAGGAACCUGUGAAAGAACCAAUAGUAAAACAAAAAAAAAUUCCCAAACUUACCUGAAAAUGCUGUAUGGUGAAUCAAAAUAAAUGCAAUUUUAAGAA